UUUUCGGCAAUGGGCGCAAGCCUGACCGAGCAACGCCGCGUGCAGGAUGACGGCCUUCGGGUUGUAAACUGCUUUUCUGGGGGACGACACGGACGGUACCCCAGGAAUAAGCCCCGGCUAACUCUGUGCCAGCAGCCGCGGUAAGACAGAGGGGGCAAGCGUUGUCCGGAGUUACUGGGCGUAAAGCGCACGUAGGCGGGACGGUAAGUAAGGUGUGAAAGCCCCAGGCUUAACCUGGGGAGGUCAUCUUCGACUGCCGCACUCGAGACCUGCAGAGGAUUGUGGAAUUGCCGGUGUAGUGGUGAAAUGCGUAGAGAUCGGCAGGAACACCAAGGGCGAAAGCAGCAAUCUGGGCAGGGUCUGACGCUGAGGUGCGAAAGCGUGGGGAGCGAACCG
rnacentral:rRNA from 1 species